AGAAAGUCCCACACGGGCGUGUAACACGACCGUGUCGCCCAACACGGGUAGUUACAUGACCGUCGCCUAAAAUUUUUUCACUUUGUCUUCUUUUUUCCCCCGUGUUCGACUUAACCCUUCAUCAUCCCAACGCUGUCGUUGGCUGUCCUAAACCCCCCACCGUCGCCCUUACCUCACCCUCACCCUCACCCUCCUCUGCCUCUUCACUCCCCCUUUCCCCUUUCUUUUCCUUUUGUCCCUGUCUGCCACCCUCAUCCUUCACUUCUCCUUUCCCCCUGCUGCACCACCACGCACUUUCUUCCUUUCCGUUAUUCCUCCAAUACACGAACUCACGCCAUCCA
rnacentral:lncRNA from 1 species